rnacentral:rRNA from 1 species
UGAGUACGAGAUGCUACGGCAUCGAAGCAGUCUAUGUCAUACUUCCAAGAAAAGCUUGCACUGUCAGAAACAGAUAAUGCCUGUACCAUAACCGACACAGGUGGGUAGGUAGAGUAUACUAAGGGGCGCGAGAUAACUCUCUCUAAGGAACUCGGCAAAAUGACUCCGUAACUUCGGGAGAAGGAGUGCCUUAUUUUUAAGGUUGCAAUAACAAGUUCCAAGCAACUGUUUACCAAAAACACAGGUCUCCGCUAAGUCGUAAGACGAUGUAUGGGGGCUGACGCCUGCCCAGUGCCAGAAGGUUAAAGAAGUCGGUUAGCAUUCGCGAAGCUGGUAACUGAAGCCCUGGUGAACGGCGGCCGUAACUAUAACGGUCCUAAGGUAGCGAAAUUCCUUGUCGGGUAAGUUCCGACCCGCACGAAAGGCGCAAUGAUUUGGAUACUGUCUCGGAGAGGGGCUCGGUGAAAUAGACUUGUCUGUGAAGAUGCGGACUACCUGCACCUGGACAGAAAGACCCUAUGAAGCUUUACUGUAACUUGAAAUUGAAAUUGGACUUUAUUCGCGCAGUAUAGGUGGGAGGCGUUGAAAAUAUUCUUGCGGGAAUAUUGGAGCCAUCAGUGAGAUACCACUCUUGUAAUGUUAGAUUUCUAACUUUAUAUCAUUAUCUGGUUAAAGAACAGUUUCAGGCGGGCAGUUUGACUGGGGCGGUCGCCUCCCAAAUGGUAACGGAGGCGCACAAAGGUUUCCUCUGAACGGGUAGAAAUCGUAUCUAGAGUGUAAAGGCAUAAGGAAGCUUGACUGUGAGACCUACAAGUCGAGCAGGGACGAAAGUCGGUCUUAGUGAUCUGACGGUGCUGAGUGGAAAGGCCGUCACUCAACGGAUAAAAGUUACUCUAAGGAUAACAGGCUGAUCUCCCCCAAGAGUUCACAUCGACGGGGAGGUUUGGCACCUCGAUGUCGGCUCAUCGCAUCCUGGGGCGGUAGUACGUCCCAAGGGUUGGGCUGUUCGCCCAUGAAAGCGGUACGCGAGCUGGGUUCAGAACGUCGUGAGACAGUUCGGUCCAUAUCCGGUGUAGGCGUUAGAAUAUUGAGAGGAGCCUUCUUUAGUACGAGAGGACCGAGAAGGACAUACCUCUGGUGUACCAGUUAUCGUGCCAACGGUAAACGCUGGGUAGCUAUGUAUGGAGUGGAUAACCGCUGAAAGCAUCUAAGUGGGAAGCCCACCUCAAGAUAAGUA